rnacentral:rRNA from 1 species
AGAGUUUGAUCAUGGCUCAGGAUGAACGCUAGCUACAGGCUUAACACAUGCAAGUCGAGGGGCAGCGAGAGGAAAGCUUGCUUUCCUUGUCGGCGACCGGCGCACGGGUGAGUAACGCGUAUCCAACCUUCCCCUUAGUAGGGCAUAGCCCGGCGAAAGUCGGAUUAAUACCCUAUGUUAUUCGUAGAGGACAUCUGAAAUGAAUCAAAGAUUAAUCGCUAAGGGAUGGGGAUGCGUCCGAUUAGGUAGUCGGCGGGUAACGGCCCACCGAGCCUUCGAUCGGUAGGGGUUCUGAGAGGAAGGUCCCCCACACUGGUACUGAGACACGGACCAGACUCCUACGGGAGGCAGCAGUGAGGAAUAUUGGUCAAUGGACGGGAGUCUGAACCAGCCAAGUAGCGUGCAGGACGACGGCCCUAUGGGUUGUAAACUGCUUUUAUACGGGGAUAAAGUCGCCCACGUGUGGGUGUUUGUAGGUACCGUAUGAAUAAGGACCGGCUAAUUCCGUGCCAGCAGCCGCGGUAAUACGGAAGGUCCGGGCGUUAUCCGGAUUUAUUGGGUUUAAAGGGAGCGCAGGCGGGAGCUUAAGCGUGACGUGAAAUGUAGCCGCUCAACGGCUGAACUGCGUCGCGAACUGGGUUUCUUGAGUGAGUACGACGCGGACGGAAUUCGUGGUGUAGCGGUGAAAUGCUUAGAUAUCACGAAGAACCCCGAUUGCGAAGGCAGUCCGCGAGUCCUUUACUGACGCUAAAGCUCGAAGGUGCGGGUAUCGAACAGGAUUAGAUACCCUGGUAGUCCGCACGGUAAACGAUGGAUGCCCGCUGUCGGCGACAGACUGUCGGCGGCCAAGCGAAAGCGUUAAGCAUCCCACCUGGGGAGUACGCCGGCAACGGUGAAACUCAAAGGAAUUGACGGGGGCCCGCACAAGCGGAGGAACAUGUGGUUUAAUUCGAUGAUACGCGAGGAACCUUACCCGGGCUUGAACUGCAGCAGACGGAUCUAGAGAUAGUGACUCCCUUCGGGGCUGCUGUGGAGGUGCUGCAUGGUUGUCGUCAGCUCGUGCCGUGAGGUGUCGGCUUAAGUGCCAUAACGAGCGCAACCCCUUUCGUCAGUUGCCAUCAGGUGAUGCUGGGCACUCCGGCGAUACUGCCACCGCAAGGUGUGAGGAAGGUGGGGAUGACGUCAAAUCAGCACGGCCCUUACGUCCGGGGCUACACACGUGUUACAAUGGGUGGUACAGAGAGUCGAGUGCCGGCAACGUCACUCCAAUCCAUAAAGCCAUCCUCAGUUCGGAUUGGGGUCUGCAACCCGACCCCAUGAAGCUGGAUUCGCUAGUAAUCGCGCAUCAGCCAUGGCGCGGUGAAUACGUUCCCGGGCCUUGUACACACCGCCCGUCAAGCCAUGAAAGCCGGGGGCGCCUGAAGUCCGUGACCGCGAGGGUCGGCCUAGGGUGAAACCGGUGAUUGGGGCUAAGUCGUAACAAGGUAGCC